UCAAGCAGAUAGGCUUACGGGUUCACUGUAGCAACCUACUUAGAGCUUGGCUGAACUUUAAAGCCCUUCUGUCCUGGUACCUUCAAUGAAAGACACUCUUCUUAGAAGCAGCCACAUUUGUACUUUCUGAGCUGAUGUAUCUUUGGUGGGGGAAUAUCUUGUUCCAUCCAUUCACUUUGAGGCUUUAUGUCUUUAGAGGUGAAAUGAGUCUCUCAGCUAAAGUAUACAGGUUCACUUUCCACAGUUUUCUGAGUUUUAUGAUGUAGGCUCAUGCCCUAUCUCCUGCUUCAAUCCUGCCUGGAAUCCCCAACCAUUGGCAAGUCUGCUCUUUGUCCAUCCAUAGACAUCAUCAGGGCUCUGGGACCCAGGACCAACUGCAGCAGAUGAUUCUCCUCUUGAUGUAUCAUCAGACAACUCUCCAUAUCACAGACAUGGGACCUGCGGAUAAAAAGGCCUACUGUACUGUUACAUUUUAUAUAAGGGACUUGAGCAUAUGUGGAUUUUGGUAUCACGGGGGUUAGGUGCAGAAAUCCUGGAAUCAGUCCCCUGAGGAUACCA